CCUUUCCUGGUCUUUUUUUCCUGUUCUGCUGAAUCCUGAUCAACCUGAAUGCUGCCUGUUAGCAUUGGGACAGGGAGAGCUACCCAUGCAGACCCAGAUGCUGUAGCCUCAUUUUUCUAAGACGGCACUCGACUGGGCAGUGAAGCACGGCAAUCUUGAGAUGGCAGAGAUGGUCGCCAAAGCAGGCGUCGAUGUCAAUGCUAAAUCGAGAAUGGUUACGCAGAAAGACAUCAAACAGGAAACUGAUCCUAGCACAGCCCCGUGUUCCUUUGUACCUCCUCUUGUUCCAGCUCCUCAAGGCCCAGCCUGCAGCAGAGGAGCCGGCCCUUGGCCUUUCAGCACAUGUGGCCCCUGCAGCCUGUGUCCUGUUGACGCCCCAGCAGCCCACAGCAAUCCAACAGCCUGUGCUCCUGUCCCUUCCGUUCCACUGUGCAGCCGUAAGCAAGCCACUGCUGGGCACCUUCAUGGCCAGAUGGUGUGGCCGCACGCCGGCACAGCCUCCACCAUUUCCCAUGGAAGGUGAGUUUCUAACUGUGCUUGUGCAAGCCUUGUAAGGAAACAUACGUGGCCUUCCCCCAACCUGAGGGCUAACAAGUUUGGAGACCAGACCUACAUGCUGUGUGUCCCCGGGCCAGGUGGGUUGUUUAAGGAUUUGUUCUCAGCAGUGACCCCACAGGAAGGGCUGCUGGAGCUGCUCCCCGAGGCACAACCCAGCACAGGUCUGCCCAGAACAAUGCAAAGGCCACAGGCGUCCCGCAGGAAGGCUGUGGCAGAAAAGAAAAUACAGCACCAAGGCCCUGAAGCUCCGGAAUGUGGCUGCCAUGCAUGUGUUCCCACGUGUGCUCUGGCUGCUGGGCUGCCUGCAUGCUUCAGGUGCAGCCCUGGCUGACUGCUGAUGUAUCCAGUGCUCAGUUGGAAGGUUCUGCCCAACAGCCCAGUGUCACAGCUGCACCCAUGGCAAUCCCGCUGCGUGGUUCCUGGAUCCACCCACUCCAGGUUUGUCCUGUUUGUUUUGUUGCUUGUUAUGCAGCUUACGUUUAAGAAAAUAAUAGUUUCAGUAAAUGAAUUAAGUGGUAAUAAGGCACAUUAUUACUGUUAAUUCCUCCAGUUUACACUGCUGUAUCUUCAAGAGAAUUAAACUGAUUUAAAUUUGAUGUGAUGCAGUAAUCGGGCUGAGAUUGCUGGUAGUUACGUGAAGCUGAGCCCAUCUUUAUCAGCUCAGUUUCUGAAAAAAAGUCCCCUAAGCAGCUCAGAAUAUUUGUUUGUGAUCAGGAGCUUUAUGCCCUUCAGCCUGCAGUGCCUUUCGUUUGACACGAACAGAAGCAGAGACCUGGUGCUUGUAGUUCACCAAAGUGGCUAUUUCCUUCUAACCUUCCUCUUGUAACAAUGUUUAUUCAGUUAUCAGGGAAGAAAUAUCAUUUGUCCGUGCAGCUACAAUUACCCAAUUUGUUGUAUAAAUUAUUACUUUUUUUCUCAUCUCAUGUUGAUGACAGAAUCAUUUAAUAGACUUUCAGUUGCUCAAGCUUGAAAAUUGGUUCCACAUUCCCCUUUUUCAGUUUUCCUCCCUAGGGUGAGUGCAACGUGGCCUAAAUGCCAUUCCCAGCCCCCCCUCCCCCUUCUUUUCUUUAAACAUCUGCUUGUAUGAGGAUGUUGUUGUGUACAUUAGCGCUGUGCAGUUUAGCACCUUUAGGACUACCUUUGGCUCUCAGCUUCCUUGUUUCCUGGGCCAACCAUAAUAUAUCAGGAACCGUGGAUAUUUCCUAUCUCAGCACUCUCCAUAACUCUUUUGCUCAGCUGUCUGAAGCUGUUUUCUUUAGGAAGUCCAAAGAGAGGGGGCCUGCUUGACCUGGCAUCGGUCCUAUUUAUAAGAAUAAACCUUCUUCCCCGUACACCUUUGGAGCUUUGUCAUGUAGGGGUCACAUCCGUUGAAAUUAACAGCGAUAGCGCCUGUGACGGAACACGGCCACGUAACCUUUAUUGUCCCGUCCUACCCUUUUGUUUGAAGUUACAAAACCUACUCAGCUGAUUUUCUUCAAAGCUAAGGCUACAGGAUCUGCAGCCGUGUCUCUGCCACGUAAUUAAUUAGGAAGGGAAAAAACAGCUACUGUGCGCACUGUAUUUUUGCGAGAUGUUUAUUUGUUUAUUUAAAGCCAGCAUUUGCUUUUUUGCUUUCAAAUUUUUGCUCUCCUGCUCUCACCACUGAAAUAAAUGCCAGUCGGGCUCGUUUACUUAGCACAGGAGUUCCCGUGUGGUGGUGGGAAGGGGCAGUGCAUGGAGCAAUCAUCUCAUUUCCAGCCCACCGUCUGAGGCUUUGGCACAGGAGCAGUGCCACCUCCACCUCCGUGGCACUGAGAUGUCACACUUACAGUCUGCCCACUCUCAAGUCAGCCUGGAUGCCUGUGCCAUGUAUUUACUUUUUCCUUAUUUAUUUUUAAGUCUAAGAAUAUUCGCUGAAAGCGGGAUUAUCACUUUGUAGACCACCAGCAGCUGUUGAAAAGCAGGGCAUAAAAGUUUGUUUAUGUCUUUAAUAACCCUCUUAAUGAUGGAGCAAGCACAUUAUUCAUAAUAAAAUAGCCUGGCAUAAUCUUGCUUCAGUGUGCGGUGGGAGGGAAUUAAGAAACAUCUGCUAUGCCAUAAAAUAACAUUAUAUAUACCAUUUACAUUAGAAACAUGUGUCUACACAUAUGUAUAUUAUAUACAUAUAUUUAGAAUGUCUCAGUGGAACUCGUCUUUUUAAUUACAUUUAGAAAACAAUGAAAUGGUUAAAUGAUGGUAUUUUUACUUCUGAAUCUCAGCUUUAUGCAGUGUUUGUGGGUAUGGCUGGUUAUAAUGACAAGGGACAGGGCAUCAGAGUGCACCUGAAGACACACGAGGGCAGAUUUUCAAGCACUGAAAUCAGGGUUCAGUUUCUGUUUUUAGCCUCCAAAUAACUGACCUGAUUUUCUGAAAUACAAAGCGUUCAUGGGCUCUUGACUUUAUGAGCGUUGGUUGCUCAGCAACUCUACAAAUCAGGCCACUAUUUCAGUGCCUAAAUGCAGAUUUUAUUUACAACAACAGCAUCCGAAUCCACAGCUUUCCUCGAUGUGAAUUAUUUGCAUUACUCCCGUGCUGAGCACGAGAGCUUACCAAGCUGGUGCUGCACUCAGCAGGAGGGUGGCUGCCUCUGCUCUGACAAACCUGGGGCAAAAAGGGACAAAAUUGGGAUCCUGAAGCCAGCGGGGCAGCGCUCUGCCAUGGCAGUGGCCGUGCCUUGUGGCUCCCAACCAGCACGGCAUGUAAACAUGUCUUUAAAUUUAGGCGUGUGAGACGUAAGUGAAACUACUUGCAUCUUAAAAUUAAAUACAUGUUUCACUAGAUCAGGCCAGAUGGUUUUACAUGCUCAAAAGUGACAUUUACAAGGUCACAUAGGAAGUGUUUGACAGAGCCAGGAACUGAAACCAGAUCUCCCAAGUGCCAACCCAGUGCCUUAAUUUUGCUCACAUCCAUUUUUUCUUCCCGCUGGCAUGUUUCUCUUCAGCCAAACAAGGAAAAAACGAAUCCAGUAAGUAGACAAUUAAGUUGUUGUUUUUAUUUAGAGGCGCUGGGAACGCAAAUGCCACUGUUUGAAAGAUUAGUACUUUCAUUUCUUCAGCAAGGCGUAUGUUUUCAUAGACUUUUUUUUUUUUAAUUUUGUCUCUUCUAUCUUACAAGAAUGUAAGAAAUCUGUUUUCAUUUUGUAGGUGGCCCACCAAAUACAAGUUAAUAAAAAUUUCUAUGCAGAUUUAUGUGAACUGGAUGAACUCUCCCAGUAUCUGAAUGUUAAUCUGUUGGAAAAUAGCUGCCGUGGUACUGGAACAGCUCAACAUCAUGCAGCAGGGCACACUCACAGCAGCACUCCGCUGACAUUUUCCCUACAAAUGCCAAAGUAAACAUGAGAGACUACUGUGGGGGGAAAUCAGUGAACUACUGGAAAGGCAACUGUGGUGAAUUUAAGGCAGUUGCCUUAGAUCCACCUAAAUCUCUGCUUCUAUGAAUGUAUGUAUUUUCCUUGGUAGACGUAUCCGUGCAAAUUUUCUUGGAUGCAUUUGAUUUAGCCUGUCUCACUUUGCCUCUAUUCUUGGCAUGGACUUAGCUCUUUGCAGGCUCCCAUUCUGCCUCAGUAUUUAAUGAGUCCUCAACUUCCCUGUCCUGUUCCAACUGAAAUCCACACCAUGAGAGAGUACUCCAGGGGAAGUGCUGGAUACCCCAAGCAUGAAAAGGAGGGGAGCAACAGCCUCGCAUUCUCACAGGACCGUCUUACUGCACCAGCAAACUGUAUAAAGAAAACGCCCUCUGGUUUGUUUGGCUGCCUCUCACUGCUGUGCCAACACACUGGCAUGAACUUUAAGGAUCCUUGCAAAAAGCUCUUGUGCUAAACAGCAUAGCACAGCUGACUUUCAAGGAGCACUUAACAUCAGCUUAUUGCUCAGGACCAUAGCAGUACCUACACAGUCUUGUGUCAGAAGGGCAGGCAUCUAUUCAUAAGGUAUGUAUCAUUGCUUGUACUUUUUUAAUCACUGCCUUAUUUUAGAUUGGUUGUUUAAGGAUCAGAACAAGUGUCUUGUUUAGGAAGGACAUUUUUCCUUCUCCACCAGCAUGCACUUAGGAUAGAGACCACAAAAGAAAAUCUCCAUACCACUGCCCCCAUAUCUCAGGUUCCUGGCUUUGACUUCAGCAGCUCUCAUUAACUGAGUCAGAGCCAGUAUCUCUCUUUGGCUUGAUGGAUAAAAAUCCUUGAUGGAUUUUUAUUUCAUCCAUUACUUUUUGUUAUCACUUUUUAAGGCCAUAGACAUUUUUUAUAUCCACAACAUCCUGGGGUAUUGAGUUCCACUGUUUAACUAUGUGUUAUGUGAUGCACACUAGGAGUUCUUAAAUCCUUGUUCCUAAUAGUUGUUUCCAUCAUCUUACCAACUUCUGUUGCAUCCACUUAUCACACUCUGCACUUUCCUCAGGAAAUAAAAUCAUCCUGUAUUUAGGUGCGUCUCAGAAACAGUCUCUUUAAAGCAUACCAAAUCUUGAUUGAGAAACUGCUGAAUACUGACACUGGAGAACUGGAAAGCAAAGACCUACAUAGCACCCAUCACAGCUUAUUACAGAGGGUAAACAGCCAGUGUUAUUAGUAGAUGAGGAAAGGUAGAUCAAUAUAAAGAAAUACUGCUCUCAUUCACUAUUCCCUUUGUCACUGCCAGGCCUCAGAAUUUUUCAGUUCAUUGAUGUCAGUAAGGAUUUACGCGCCUGCCCAAGAAGCUGGUGCCAGAUUAUUCCCAGGCUGCAGCAGAUCCUGAUCAGCAUGUAAGCUGGCUUGGGCAGCUGCAUAAGGAAACAAAAUUUAAGAUUACAGCAACUUAAAAUACUGCUCGAGUUUAUAACGUCAACACUGGUAUCAGGGAACAUGGCAACAAAAGUGACCAAAAAGCAUCUCCUCUUGCUGUAAUGCUUUGCAAAUAUAUCAGGUUGGUUAGACAGAGGGCAUGUAAUGUUUUUCAUUAGCUGAAUGAGCACCUAGCUCAAGCCAAGUCUGAAGGCUUUUGGAAACACUUUAUUCACAGGGGGCAGCUUAGGGGUUAAACUAUGUUUAGCAUAUUCCCUUCCCUACAUUAUUUCACGUGCAGAGCCGCUUCCUCUUUGACAGCAUCAGGAGCCUAUCCUUACAUACCCUAAUGGUCUCAUGCCUUCAGCAAGCUGUGGCUUACACCCGCAUACCUCCUCGUUGCUGUUAUCACCAAUGGUUUCCUCAAUGGAAAUAAUCAUGCACAUUACAACUGUUGCCAAAACCCUCUGGCACCAGAAGCACUCUCGGAAGGAAAGCCUGAAGGCAUGCGAGGGCCUGAGCAGCUGUAGCUGCAGUGAGGUAGGUCAGCAGUACUACAUGGGAAACCAUGCAAGAGAAAAGCUGCACACUGCCUUCCUGUUUAACACCAGCCAGAGUUAGGGGUCUGACUCUGCCAGGGUUUCAGAACGAAACCUGAAUACUGGCCUGUGCAAAUUCCUCUGUUCACGGUUUCAUGUCCACAUGCACACACCAACAAUCCAUCAUGAGGUCCCAUCGCUGCAUCUGCGUGCCUUCGUGGAGACUGCAAAGGUUUUGCAUGAGUUCAAAUAGGAAAAAAAAAGUCAUUUUUCACACAUUCUAAUUUCAGAUAUGACUGUAAAUGUUCUAAGCCUCUUUGUAUGUUUAAACAUUUUUAGUGAGUUAAACAACAAACAAACUAUAUCUGUUACAUUUCUGCAGUUAAAUCAUGUAACUUGAUUGCCUAACAAAGCAUCAGCAGUAUGAGGUCCUUUAUGGGUCACAGCUGAGCUGGAUUUUACGCUUAAGAAUUUCCCCAUUUUGGACCAGAAUUAAAAAAAAUUCUUCUUCUGGGCAACACCCAUGAGCCCAAGUCUGGAAAAAGGAAGUGAAAUGUGAGCAGAAAGCCCCCAAAUAGCCUGUCUGUCCCCUCAGACAAAGCAGAAGGAAAAUAAAAUCACAGCUCUGUUCUUUGGCUGUGGGGCCGCUCGUCCCACCCCAAAAGCAGGCGAAGGAGCGAAACCCCCCAGCAGCAGCCAGGGAAGUGUUGAGAAGCCCAUCCCAGGGGACUUGGGGACAGUGCACGGGGCUUGGAGCAGAGGGACCUCACAGAAAACAGCCUGGCUCCAGAGCAACCCCCAAAAUGCUCUGCAGCCCCCAGAUGCCAUGCUGCUGCGGACGGGCGAGGGAAUUGUUGGCGUGCCACCGCCUGCUCGCUGUGUGGUCCUGCCCAGGGAGACAUCUCGGUGACUGCCAGGAAUGAGGAAAACUGGCGUGUUUUUGUUUUGUUUCCUUUUAAAUAAACUCGCCGUCCUUAAUCUGGCAGGCUGGAGUCCAGGCUCGACAGGCCAAUGAGUAAUGAGGUGCGAGGGAAGACAGGAUGUGGAAUUAGGAGGUCGGGGCUGAAGGUUGCCCCAAAUUUAAUCUCUCCCUCUCCUUCUCCAUGUGCCACUGCUGACCAUGGUGCAGACGCACACUCACCAUUGAUGCCCUACAGCCCCAUAUCCCAGCAGGGCCAAUGCAGGAGGAGUUUGGGGCUGGGGCUUCCCUCCCUGCCCACCCUGGUAGGCCUGUGCCAAGAGCAGAGCCUUCCCCUGCUUUCCAGAUGCAGUGGUUCAGAAGCUCAGGGGAAGUCAAGUUCACCCCGUGGCUCUGGUGACACUCAGUGUUACCUCACUGAGCUCAUCACCACUUGGGUCCCUACCAGCAAACAUUAAUUUCCUUCCAGUACCCUUGCCAACCUUUCAGCCUAGCUUAAGCUGGACUUCAGCAUGAGAAAACCAGACUUAUUACCACAUGCUAAAGGCAAUAAAUAAUUUUUUUCCUGCUGCAUGCAUUAUUGGCAGAGUUUGUGACCACGGCUGAAUUACAGCCAUGCAUGCGCUCCACAUGCAUUUAUUCAUCAUCUAAAUUAUUUUUGGCAGCAAAUAAGAGAGUGUGCUGAUUAAAAUUUAAGAGUUAUCUCAACGAGC